GACGAACGCUGGCGGCGUGCUUAACACAUGCCAGUCGAACGGAAAGGCCCUGCUUUUGUGGGGUGCUCGAGUGGCGAACGGGUGAGUAACACGUGAGUAACCUGCCCUUGACUUUGGGAUAACUUCAGGAAACUGGGGCUAAUACCGGAUAGGAGCUCCUGCUGCAUGGUGGGGGUUGGAAAGUUUCGGCGGUUGGGGAUGGAUUCGCGGCUUAUCAGCUUGUUGGUGGGGUAGUGGCUUACCAAGGCUUUGACGGGUAGCCGGCCUGAGAGGGUGACCGGCCACAUUGGGACUGAGAUACGGCCCAGACUCCUACGGGAGGCAGCAGUGGGGAAUAUUGCACAAUGGGCGGAAGCCUGAUGCAGCAACGCCGCGUGCGGGAUGACGGCCUUCGGGUUGUAAACCGCUUUCGCCUGUGACGAAGCGUGAGUGACGGUAAUGGGGAAAGAAGCACCGGCUAACUACGU
rnacentral:rRNA from 1 species